rnacentral:hammerhead_ribozyme from 1 species
CUACUGAGGAGUCCAACAAUAGGACGAAAUGGCCGUCAAAUAC